UACGUAGGUGGCAAGCGUUGUCCGGAUUUACUGGGCGUAAAGCGCGUUCAGGCGGUUUGGCAAGUCGGGCAUGAAAUCUCUCGGCUCAACCGGGAGAGGUUGUCCGAUACUUCCAGACUUGAGGGCAGUAGAGGGUGGUGGAAUUCCGGGUGUAGUGGUGAAAUGCGUAGAUAUCCGGAGGAACACCAGUGGCGAAAGCGGCCACCUGGACUGCACCUGACGCUGACACGCGAAAGCUAGGGGAGCGAACGGG
rnacentral:rRNA from 1 species